GACGAACGCUGGCGGCGUGCUUAACACAUGCAAGUCGAACGCACCUUCGGGUGAGUGGCGGACGGGUGAGUAACGCGUAGGUAAUCUACUCUUCAGUGGGGGAUACCCAGCCGAAAGGUUGGUUAAUACCGCAUACGCUCCUGUGCAGAGAGGUACAGGAGGAAAGGUUUACUGCUGAGGAAUGAGCCUGCGUCCGAUUAGCUAGUUGGUGGGGUAAAGGCUCACCAAGGCGACGAUCGGUAGCUGGUCUGAGAGGACGAUCAGCCACACUGGAACUGAGACACGGUCCAGACUCCUACGGGAGGCAGCAGUGGGGAAUUUUCCGCAAUGGGCGAAAGCCUGACGGAGCAACGCCGCGUGGGUGAUGAAGUUUUUCGGAACGUAAAACCCUUUCGCCAGGGACGAAGCGAGUGACGGUACCUGGAGAAGAAGCAUCGGCUAACUACGUGCCAGCAGCCGCGGUAAU
rnacentral:rRNA from 1 species